AAGUCGUAACAAGGUUUCCGUAGGUGAACCUGCGGAAGGAUCAUUCUUGUAUUAUCUAGUAAUUUAUUGCUCAGGCAAUUUACUUUCUACUAUGUGAACAGUGGUGUAUUUACUUGAUUGCAACAAUGCAAAUAUUUUUUGUGUUGAUUGUGAUUGGGAAAAAUUCAAAACAAAUUUAACAUGAAUACUAUUAUAUAUUUACAAUUGUCUUAACAUAACAACAACAACAAAUAAAAAUACAACUUUUAGCAACGGAUCUCUAGGCUCUCGCAACGAUGAAGAACGCAGCAAACUGCGAAACGUAGUGUGAAUUGCAGACCGUGAAUCAUCAAAUUUUUGAACGCACAUUGCGCUGUCUGGAAUCCCGGACAGCAUGUCUGUUUGAGCAUCAUAUCUUAUACUCCUGUUGUGUAAAGUGUGAUUUACACUUGCAUGACAGGGAAUUGUGAUUUAUCAUUCAUUGAUGAUAUCUCAUGAAAUGUAUGUCAGUGUGUAUUGUGUGUGUACUCUUGAGAGUAGUUCCUUGUGACAAACUCAUUAAAGCAAGUACACACACUUACACUUGAAACCCAUCAUGAUUAAUCCUCUCUCUUUCAUUAGAGAUGAUUUCAAUUGAUCUCAAAUCAGACAAGAUUACCCGCUGAACUUAAGCAUAUUAAUAAGCGGAGGAAAAGAAACUAACAAGGAUUCCCCUAGUAACGGCGAGUGAAGCGGGAACAGCUCAAAUUUGUAAUCUCUUCGGAGAGUUGUAAUUUGUAGAGACGUCAUCUUCAGUGAAACUGGGUAGAAGUCCCUUGGGAAAGGGCGUCACAGAGGGUGAGAAUCCCGUUCGUGACCCGGUGACACUGUCAAUGAUACGUUUUCAAAGAGUCGGGUUGUUUGGGACUGCAGCCCUAAUCUGGUGGUAUAUUCCAUCUAAAGCUAAAUACAGGCGAGAGACCGAUAGCGAACAAGUACUGUGAAGGAAAGAUGAAAAGAACUUUGAAAAGAGAGUUAAAAGUACGUGAAAUUGCUAAAAGGGAAACGUUUGAAAUCAGUGUAGUCAGGUGAAGUUCAGCCAUUCGUACCGGAUGGUGUAUGCAUCACUCGACAAGUCAGCAUCGGUUUGGCGGGAAGAAUAACCUGUGAGAAAUGUAGCUCUCCUUCGGAUGAGUGUUAUAGUCUCACGGAAAGCUUCUCGCUGGACCGAGGUACGCCUAUUCUUGUAGGAUGUUGACAAAAUGGUUUCAAAUGACC
rnacentral:rRNA from 1 species